rnacentral:rRNA from 1 species
CUACGUGCCAGCAGCCGCGGUAAUACGGAGGGUGCGAGCGUUAAUCGGAAUAACUGGGCGUAAAGGGCACGCAGGCGGUUAUUUAAGUGAGGUGUGAAAGCCCCGGGCUUAACCUGGGAAUUGCAUUUCAGACUGGGUAACUAGAGUACUUUAGGGAGGGGUAGAAUUCCACGUGUAGCGGUGAAAUGCGUAGAGAUGUGGAGGAAUACCGAAGGCGAAGGCAGCCCCUUGGGAAUGUACUGACGCUCAUGUGCGAAAGCGUGGGGAGCAAACAGGAUUAGAUACCCUGGUAGUCCACGCUGUAAACGCUGUCGAUUUGGGGAUUGGGCUUUAAGCUUGGUGCCCGUAGCUAACGUGAUAAAUCGACCGCCUGGGGAGUACGGCCGCAAGGUUAAAACUCAAAUGAAUUGACGGGGGCCCGCACAAGCGGUGGAGCAUGUGGUUUAAUUCGAUGCAACGCGAAGAACCUUACCUACUCUUGACAUCCAUGGAAUUCUGUAGAGAUACGGGAGUGC